rnacentral:misc_RNA from 1 species
CUUAGUUCCAAUGCUGACCACCGACUAGCGUUGAAGUCAACGAGUUGGUUACGUAAACGAUAUAGUGAUCACGUACACGCAUAAAGGCCGACACCCUUAACCGGUGCCGACAAGCAACCAGAGGCAGGUCACAGCCCGAUUCGAAAUUAUUGUUUUUUAUAAUUCGAAAAUUGGUAAAGAUGGAACCUUGGAAUCGCUUCAAGACUAUCGGCAAAUUUGUAUUCUGGGAAAUUAUAUAUCCACGUGUUUGGCGAGGCUUGAUAGAUUUUAUUUUCGACCGAGGAGCACCGUAUGUCAAAUCUAAGAUUGUCAAUUGGUUCGAAAGUCGGAAUGCACUACCGCCUGAUACAGUGAAAUCGGAGGAUGUUGGCAAGUAUCAAUUUCG